rnacentral:rRNA from 1 species
AGUUACGCUAAUACCGCAUACGAUCUAAGGAUGAAAGUGGGGGAUCGCAAGACCUCAUGCUCCUGGAGCGGCCGAUAUCUGAUUAGCUAGUUGGUAGGGUAAAAGCCUACCAAGGCAUCGAUCAGUAGCUGGUCUGAGAGGACGACCAGCCACACUGGAACUGAGACACGGUCCAGACUCCUACGGGAGGCAGCAGUGGGGAAUUUUGGACAAUGGGCGCAAGCCUGAUCCAGCAAUGCCGCGUGAGUGAAGAAGGCCUUCGGGUUGUAAAGCUCUUUUGUCAGGGAAGAAACGGAGUUUUCUAAUACAGAGAUCUAAUGACGGUACCUGAAGAAUAAGCACCGGCUAACUACGUGCCAGCAGCCGCGGUAAUACGUAGGGUGCAAGCGUUAAUCGGAAUUACUGGGCGUAAAGCGUGCGCAGGCGGUUUUGUAAGACUGUCGUGAAAUCCCCGGGCUCAACCUGGGAAUGGCGAUGGUGACUGCAAGGCUAGAGUUUGGCAGAGGGGGGUAGAAUUCCACGUGUAGCAGUGAAAUGCGUAGAUAUGUGGAGGAACACCGAUGGCGAAGGCAGCCCCCUGGGUCAAAACUGACGCUCAUGCACGAAAGCGUGGGGAGCAAACAGGAUUAGAUACCCUGGUAGUCCACGCCCUAAACGAUGUCUACUAGUUGUCGGGUUUUAAUUAACUUGGUAACGCAGCUAACGCGUGAAGUAGACCGCCUGGGGAGUACGGUCGCAAGAUUAAAACUCAAAGGAAUUGACGGGGACCCGCACAAGCGGUGGAUGAUGUGGAUUAAUUCGAUGCAACGCGAAAAACCUUACCUACCCUUGACAUGGCAGAAAUCCCGGAGAGAUUUGGGAGUGCUCGAAAGAGAAUCUGCACACAGGUGCUGCAUGGCUGUCGUCAGCUCGUGUCGUGAGAUGUUGGGUUAAGUCCCGCAACGAGCGCAACCCUUGUCAUUAGUUGCUACGAAAGAGCACUCUAAUGAGACUGCCGGUGACAAACCGGAGGAAGGUGGGGAUGACGUCAAGUCCUCAUGGCCCUUAUGGGUAGGGCUUCACACGUCAUACAAUGGUACAUACAGAGGGCCGCCAACCCGCGAGGGGGAGCUAAUCCCAGAAAGUGUAUCGUAGUCCGGAUUGUAGUCUGCAACUCGACUGCAUGAAGUUGGAAUCGCUAGUAAUCGCGGAUCAGCAUGUCGC